UCCUGUUUUGCAUUCUUCACAAUGUCAUCUGUCAAAAGAGCAAUUCCAAACAAAAUAUUGUUUAAUUUUAUCAAAUUUCAAGUGGACGAUCAAGUUUUGUGUGAAAAAAAUGCUAAAAGUGUUUUUGGUCAAACUAAACAAGAGUGAUGGCGGCGGCAGCGUCAUCGUCGGUCUGGCCCGUUCCUGAUCGACUGGCCAAUACGACCGACGGAACAACUUCCUAUCCCGGGACGAUCCGUUGCAGAUCGGCAAGCGAAGAUCCUGCCGUGGUAGAUACAACAUUGUCUUCCAGACUACAAAAUACGCGAGACCUUAAACGAUGAUGGACUUGAGGCAGCAGGAGGAAGUUUCAUGUGACCACGAGUGGAGAAAGUCAUAUUUAUAAAAAAUGAAAAUAAAUGAGAAAAUAUGUAUCUA